rnacentral:rRNA from 1 species
GACGAACGCUGGCGGCGUGCUUAACACAUGCAAGUCGAACGGAAAGGCCCUGCUUUUGUGGGGUGCUCGAGUGGCGAACGGGUGAGUAACACGUGAGUAACCUGCCCUUGACUUUGGGAUAACUUCAGGAAACUGGGGCUAAUACCGGAUAGGAGCUCCUGCUGCAUGGUGGGGGUUGGAAAGUUUCGGCGGUUGGGGAUGGACUCGCGGCUUAUCAGCUUGUUGGUGGGGUAGUGGCUUACCAAGGCUUUGACGGGUAGCCGGCCUGAGAGGGUGACCGGCCCCAUUGGGGCUGAGAUACCGCCCAGACUCCUACGGGAGGGAGGAGUGGGGAAUAUUGCACAAUGGGCGGAAGCCUGAUGCAGCAACGCCGCGUGCGGGAUGACGGCCUUCGGGUUGUAAACCGCUUUCGGCUGUGACGGAGCGUGAGUGACGGUAAUGGGUAAAGAAGCACCGGCUAACUACGUG